CACCCCCGUAACUUCGGGAUAAGGGGGACCUGAUGUGUGACUGGAUUUACUCCUCGAGCACUGAGGGUCGCAGAGACCAGGCCCAAGCGACUGUUUACUAAAAACACAGGUCCGUGCCAAGUUGAAAGACGAUGUAUACGGACUGACUCCUGCCCGGUGCUGGAAGGUUAAGGGGAAGUGUUAGGGCAACCGAAGCACUGAACUUAAGCCCCAGUAAACGGCGGUGGUAACUAUAACCAUCCUAAGGUAGCGAAAUUCCUUGUCGGGUAAGUUCCGACCUGCACGAAUGGAGUAACGAUUUGGGCGCUGUCUCCACCACGAACUCGGCGAAAUUGCAUUACGAGUAAAGAUGCUCGUUACGCGCAGCAGGACGGAGAGACCCCGGGACCUUUACUAUAGUUUGGUAUUGGUGAUCGGUACGACUUGUGUAGGAUAGGUGGGAGACUUUGAAGCAUGGACGCCAGUUCGUGUGGAGUCAACGUUGAAAUACCACUCUGGUCGUUCUGGUUAUCUAACCUAGGUCCAUUAUCUGGAUCAGGGACAGUGCCUGAUGGGUAGUUUGACUGGGGCGGUCGCCUCCCAAAAUGUAACGGAGGCGCCCAAAGGUUCCCUCAGCCUGGUUGGCAAUCAGGUUUUGAGUGUAAGUGCACAAGGGAGCUUGACUGUGAGAGGGACACCUCAAACAGGGACGAAAGUCGGGACUAGUGAUCUGACGGUGGCACGUGGAAGCGCCGUCACUCAACGGAUAAAAGGUACCCCGGGGAUAACAGGCUGAUCUUGCCCGAGCGUCCAUAGCGACGGCAUGGUUUGGCACCUCGAUGUCGGCUCGUCGCAUCCUGGGGCUGGAGUCGGUCCCAAGGGUUGGGCUGUUCGCCCAUUAAAGCGGCACGCGAGCUGGGUUUAGAACGUCGUGAGACAGUUCGGUCCCUAUCCGCUGCGCGCGUAGGAAUCUUGAGAGAGGCUGUCCUUAGUACGAGAGGACCGGGACGGACAAACCUCUGGUGUGCCAGUUGUUCUGCCAAGAGCACGGCUGGUUGGCUACGUUUGGAAGUGAUAACCGCUGAAAGCAUCUAAGCGGGAAGCACGUCUCAAGAUGAGGGUUCCCACAGAGUUAAUCUGGUAAGGCCCCCGGAAGACCACCGGGUUGAUAGGUCGGACGUGGAAGUGUAGCAAUACAUGAAGCUGACCGAUACUAAUAGGCCGAGGGCUUGUUC
rnacentral:rRNA from 1 species